UUGAGAUUCUUAAUUGGUUAGGACUGCCUACUAAAAAAUAUUUUAUAUGAAGUUUUAGGUGCUUUCAGUAAACUGGGGAAUGUGCUUGGUUGUUUUAUUUAUUCUUCACGUGUUUGGAAUGUUUUUAGUUUGUUUCUAUAACUAAAUAGCGUACAUUUCCCUUGGAGUUUUGAUGGGGUCAUAACUUUCAAGAAAAACUAUCCCCGGUGCAUCAUAUAAAUUCAAAAUAAGUAAGGCCAUGUUAACACGCAUUUCUUGAUUUACGUCCUUGACACUCGUACUUCUUGACACAUAUCAGAAAAUGUAAGCAUAUAUUGUCUACAUCACAUGAAUGAAUUGAUGCGACAGUACUGCUUAAUGAUUUUCUUUACCUUCUAGAUAAGAAAAUAUUGGUACAAGCCAACGAAAAACUUAGAACUGAUGAAAGGGAAGAAUUCAAUUUAACACCGACAAACUAUUUGGGGUAUUAUCUAGAGUCCUGGAUUUAAGUGCAUCAGAUGUAGAACACAAUUGAGCAAGAACGAAACUUGUAGGGGAAGGGGAAAGAAAAGGGAAGAAAGGGAGAAAGAGAAGAAGAGGGGAGAUAGAAAUGGGAGAGAAAUCAAACAAACAGAGGAGAGAGGGAGAAAAUAACAGUUUAUUCAAUAAUCAGAUCUAAUUAUUACAGCGCAUAAACACUUUAUAUAGUGUUUCAACCAGUCUAAUUUAAUUAUGAAAUAAUUAUAAAAAUAACUUAAAAAUACUAGAAUAAUUGUAAAAUAAACACUAAUGAGUUUUCCCAAAAUUAGAGCCUAAACCUGGAAUGAGUUUUCCCAAAAUAAGAGCCUAAACCUGGAAAUUAUCAUAUAAUAUAAAUCAUGUAUAUGUCCAUCAGUUUCUUAACGUGGGUAGGACGAUGCCAUAAAACUCUCAUUGUUACAGGGUGAUCAAUGUGUAUGAGCAUUGAGCAUGGACUUUAGUGUGGACAGGACUGGAUGAUACAAAAACAUAAGAUUAUAGCUCUUCUUCUUCUUCUUCUUCUUCUUCUUCUUCGUGUACGUUAUUACUGUGCAGCACAGUUCACCUAGCCAAAGAGUCUCAACUGUUCCAAAGGAAUCAUGAGAUAUAUCUAUUUCUUUGAAACCACGUUGAUGGUUUCCAGCAGGACUACAUAUUUGGUUGAUAAAUUAUUGGAUGAAAAUGUGUCAUUGGACAGGAC
rnacentral:lncRNA from 1 species